rnacentral:lncRNA from 1 species
GCCGUCCCCCGCGGUGUCCCGCCUGUGACCUCUUCCUCCCGUCCUCCAGGAGACGCCUCUGAGCCAGCCCAGCUGGCCGCCACCGGGCCUUCGCUGUCUGUGUCCACAGCUGCACCGGGCAGCCGCCUAGCCUCAGCCAGCCCAGGGAGGGCGCUCCAGCCCCAAUCCUUUUAAAUUUCCCAAGAGAAGUCAGUGAGUCCCUGAAGCCCAAAGGGACAAGUCGAGCUCUCCAAAGGACUUGUGUCCAGAGCGCAUCAGGAACAUCAUCCAAGUGGCCUGGCAUGCACAGUAACUGCACGGACCGACCCCAGGGUCCGGUGUGGGAACCCUGAUUCUACUGCGGCGGCUCUCAGAGGCAGGGGCUUGGAAGGUCACCAGGUAGAGCCCCGCUUGUGGGAUUAGUGCCCUUAGGGAAGACCCCAAGACUUGCCGCGCUCCAUGUGAGGAGGCCAGGAAAGGGCAGGGGUUAGCAGGCGAGAAGUGGGCCCUGCCCAGCAGCUGCAUUUCCCGCACCUCAUCCUGGGAGCAGCAGCAGGUGGGAGGAGGCGGGGCGAACCUCUCCCCCACCAAGGGCCCAGGUGUGGGAGGCAGCACGGGCCUCGCGUGUGGGAGCACUGUGGCUCAGUGGUGCUGUUGUGUGGACCACACUUUGCUUACUGGGUCAUCAGCGGACACCUGCGUUGUUUCCACUUUGCUUCUCUGUGCAGUGCUGGGUGUGGGACAGGGUGAUGAUACCCCAAGGCCCUUCCACUUCCGGGCAGCAGCGAAUCAUGAUGCUGUGAACACCUGUGUACAAGUGUCUGUGUAGAUUGGCCUGUAAGUCUUAGGUACUUUCCAGUACACACGCUGUGUUCUCACAAUUAAAAUGUGUAAUUAAACUGGGCGUGGUGGCGCACACCUGUAUCCCAGCACUCACGAGGCUGAGGCAGGUGGAUCGC